GAUGAAGAACGUAGCAAAAUGCGAUAAGUAAUGUGAAUUGCAGAAUUCAGUGAAUCAUCGAAUCUUUGAACACACAUUGCGCCCGCCAGUAUUCUGGCGGGCAUGCCUGUUCGAGCGUCAUUUCAACCCUCAAGCACAGCUUGGUGUUGGGACUCGCGUUAAUUCGCGUUCCCCAAAUUGAUUGGCGGUCACGUCGAGCUUCCAUAGCGUAGUAGUAAAACCCUCGUUACUGGUAAUCGUCGCGGCCACGCCGUUAAACCCCAACUUCUGAAUGUUGACCUCGGAUCAGGUAGGAAUACCCGCUGAACUUAAGCAUAUCAAUAAGCGGAGGA
rnacentral:misc_RNA from 1 species